AUGUCAUUUAAUCUUUCAGUAUUUCACUUUGUACAGUGGGAGAUGAAGAUAAAACUCUUCUUCACUAUAGAAAUGUUGCAAGGUUCAUCAGUGCCAAAUGGACACUUUUUCUUAGGUGUGCAUCGUUCAGUGCUAUCCUAUUUUUGCAGUUCCAGUGCCAUAUAUGUGCCUUGUAUUCCACAUGGAAGGUAUAGAGAGGUGGGCAUUUUCUACUCCUCCGUUGCCCUUCAACCACAAGAUCCCAAAGUACAAGGGCCUUGAAGGAAGAAGAAAAAAAGGCAGUUAUAAAAGAGGUCAGCAAAUGUGUGAGUAAGAAGGAUGAAACAGAUGAGGCUACAAAAAACAUGUGGAACACAGACUGGAUACGUUUCUGACAUCCAUGUGGCUUCCUUCACAUUUGUUUCAGAUUUCCAAGCAUCCAGCAUUUCUAGCCUCAAAAAAACAAAAAAGAUUGGGAAAAACCUGGUCUGAGUCAGGUGGUGAUAUUUCAUUAAAGUCCUUAAGUGCCGUUUAAAUAGACAAACAGAAAAUCCUUUCUCUGUUCUCAGUAGGUAUAAUUUAGACAGACAGUGUGUAAUGAGGCAAGUUACUGUUGUCCAUAGUAACCCUCAGAUCCAACUCUCUGCUUGGAUGAGCUAUUCCAAAAGACUCAGUGUUACUGUUGCAUUCAAAGGUACAUCAAAGAAUAAAUAUAACUCAUAAUAGUGCUAGUAUUUCA
rnacentral:lncRNA from 1 species